AAUUUUUUUUAGUUCAGCAGCUCUCUAGUGUAUUUUAUGUGUGGCCCAAGACAAUUCUUCUUCCAAUGCGGCCCAGGACAGCCAAAAGAUUGGACUCCCCUGAUUUACAUCAUCUUGAGG